GGUGAUGGCAUCCUGAGAGGCCUGGGCCUCCUCCACAGACAAGGCGGCGGCGCGCUUGGCGGCGGUGAUCUGAGCGCCAGUUCAAGGGCAGAUGAUGUGCGCAAGGAAGGAAAGAUGCAGACAAACAACACCGAAGACGUCUUCAAAACGCUUGAUGAGAUUGAGUUCCCAGAGAUGGUAGAGCCCCUGAGGGCUGCAUUGGAAGGAAUGAUACAAUCAAUCCAACUGUUACCUUUGGGGUGCUUUUUGGAUGGACUAAUCUGAAGAUGUUGGCUAGCUUGCACCGCCAUCAUAUAAUCUAGAAGCAAGGGCAAGGAUUAUAGGGAAAAUAAAGGCAAUUCGCCAACCAGAGGAAAUGCCAACCAAUACAUUUUUGUACUUCCUCUGUUACAGAGGCCAACGACGGCUGCUAGCAAUGAUAUAUACAUAUCAACAAUUCCAAGGAGGUGCAUGUGUCAGUAUGCAUAGCAUAGUAUAUAUAUGCUUGACACUGUGACUGGAGGAGAUCCAGGAAGGGGUGAACUCAAAAUCAUCUGUGAUUUGAUUGGAAAAUACUCUCCAGCAUCUGAAACAUCUAAAGGCGAUCACUCGACCAAGUAUGUUAUACAAUAUACCCAGCUCGAUGAUUGGAGCAGUCCCAGCCGCUAAUUAGUGCUAAUUAGUACUCCAGUGUUGAAUCACACAGCUAAGUAUCAACACUCCCUCGAGACUUGGCUAUUAACAAAGUAGUGCUAGGUCCUCAGCGUUCGUUCUUACUCUCUAUUUUCUCGAGUUGGUUUCUCUUUAUUCACUUUUUGCUUUCUAUUUUCAUUAUCACUAUUCAUUUGGUAUCUUGGUUUCUCUUUGUUUAGUCUCCACCCUCUUUCUCCUUACCUUAUUUUUUGAUUUGUAUGUCUAAGUUAAGAAUGAGAGGCUAGAUAAACAAACAGGAAAAUGCUCAGUUUGUUCAGGCCUUAGGGACGUAUUCCAUCACUGUCCACCAACAAGUUCAACUCCGACAACGGUUCACUGAUAAUGUGGGCCGGUGCACCAUGUCAGCAACGUCGACAGCCUGACAGGCCAUUUUCCAACUAGGCCUAUUGUAAAUGACGAGACCAUGAGGAUGUAAUCAGUAAUAUUGCUCCUAAAAAUGAAGAUGUACUUUGCCGUUCCACUAAUCUCGACAAAAGAGUAGAUUAUGGUGCCCCUUGUGCUACAGUGGAAUUGAAUCACAAAAAAUUCUACAGAUUCAUCAAACAAUGAAGGAGGUUAGUUUUUACCUGAGAGGCAACGGUGGCCACCGUGCUCUUCCUGGAGCCUCGCUUGCGGUCGAAAGUCAUCAGCUUCAGGGAGUGCCAGCACGGCAAAAAUAGACGCCACCUUCGGCAGGGAGCAACAACAGCAACUGCGAGGAUUUGGCUCGCCGAUACGAGCAACGGCGGCGCCAUACCCGCUUCCGCAGCUCCGAGCUGCUGGUCCGCCGAGAUGCAGAUGGCGCCGGGGAGCCUUUGGGCCUCCAAGCUGUCGGGCCACCGAGAUGCAGAUGUAGCCGCAGCGCCUCUGAGCUGUAGCGAGAGCCGCUCAGCUGCCAAGCUGCAGCGCGAGCUGCCGUGAAGAUGGAGCCGUGCUUUCUCUCCAGUACAAGUACAGUGGGGAGAGGGGAACGAAUCCAAUGAAACUGAUCGAUGGAACCAAGGCCAACAGUCAACCACGUGGUGAUCUCUAUGCUAUAUGUGCCACGCGUGUGUAUAGGUGUCCAGAAUGUGUGGUUCUAUCACAGUGGCAUAAUUGUCAUUUUAUCUUGGUGCUAAUUUGUAGCACCUGUAUGAUCUAUACUGUUUUGUCUGAUUUAUUCCAACU